UCCCAAAGGAGGAAGUUUCAAACCUAUUUAAACCCAAGCCUCUGGCCUGGAAAAUUCUCUCUGGCUGCAGUUGCUGCUUGGAUCUGGCCUGUGUGCUGCUCUCAGCUACUGCUUGCAGACGCCCAUGAAGGGUGGUGAGAAUGGAGAAGCAUCGCAAAUAUAGAAAAAAGAAACAGGGGAAAAACAAACCAUGUCAAGACCCAGUCUCAGAUGCCGAAUUGCUUCAGAACUGUAGAGCUCAGACAGAGGAAAAGAGAUAAAGCUCCAGUUAAUUAUGGAUCACAUACAGAUGAAGCUUCAGGCAGAAUUAGAAAUUAGAGGUAUUAAAGACAGUUUGGACAAGUCAUGCUUGUAAUGGAAAGCCACAAAAGUUCGAGUUUAAUCAAGCAACAUCAUUUGUAGCUGAAUCUUUGAUUUUCACACACUACUAAUGAAUGAAGUAUUAACUGGAGCAAGCAGAAAAAAAAUAUUGUCUUCAGAAACAAAAUUUAUUCUGUCCUAUUGAAAAGCUGGCAUGAAAACAUCUUGUCUACUUCAUUUAUUUUACGAGAAAAAUUGAAGGAAAUUUUGCUUUUUAUUCUGUGCAUAAUAGUACAUAUUUUCAGUUGAAACAUGCCAACUUCAUCCCCUUGAGUUGUACACAAAUCAAUAAUAUAAUAUAAUAUUGUGACAAGUAUGAAAAACAGCCAAGGAAGCUUAAAUAGUCCCUACCCCAGUGGAUUCAGCAGUACAGCUGUGCAUGCACUCAAAUUUGUUUUUCUUUUGUUUUUAGCAUCUAUUUGUAUUUAUACUUAUACUUUUCAAAGGGUAUUUUUUAAAACUGUUGGAAUAAAUGAGGUUCUGCAGGAAAAGAAAAUGACUCUUGUACAAUUACUGCGGAGCCUGUUUAUUGAUUUUAAAAAUCAAUUUGGUGAUCUAUCAUGUAUUAUAAAAUAGGGGGAAGUAGUAAGUGCUGGUGGCAUUUCAUUCCAGAUCGUUAUUCAUUCUGAUCAAGCAGCUGCAGGUCCCAGUAAACUCCCACACAUGGAGACAUUGCUUAAUCUCUACAGUGCGGAGGGAUAAAUCACAUUGUGUCCAUGUAUUGGUGAGCUACCAUCUACAUCAUUUCACUAUUAGGAGUUGUGAGAAAUAAGCUCAUGAAAGAAAAGGGGUCUUGAUUGCAGGGGCUCAAGUGUUUUUCAGCAUUCCCUGGAUCUCCACUGGGGCCCCUGGUCUUGUUUUAGCUUAUUCCCAAGCUUGCAGCUGCUUCUCAGCUGAGAAGCAACUCAAGCUGCUCAUUCAUGGAGUUGGGGAUUAAAGCGGAUGUUAUCUCCAAGUGCACAGCCACGCUUUCCCCAACCAGGGCCAGUUGUGUGGGCGCUGCCAUUGCUACUACAAUGGCUACCUUCUCCCAUUGUGUUGCAUGUCGGGAUUGAUCUGCAUAUCACAUGACAGCUCUGUCACAUAGGGCCAGUUAGAUGAUAUGUCCGCAGACCUUUCCUAAUUACAUCUAUGCGUGCACACGUCUCUUCCCCACACCACAUUCAC